rnacentral:rRNA from 1 species
UUUUAUGGAGAGUUUGAUCCUGGCUCAGGAUGAACGCUGGCGGCGUGCCUAAUACAUGCAAGUCGAGCGAACAGACGAGGAGCUUGCUCCUCUGACGUUAGCGGCGGACGGGUGAGUAACACGUGGAUAACCUACCUAUAAGACUGGGAUAACUUCGGGAAACCGGAGCUAAUACCGGAUAAUAUAUUGAACCGCAUGGUUCAAUAGUGAAAGACGGUUUUGCUGUCACUUAUAGAUGGAUCCGCGCCGCAUUAGCUAGUUGGUAAGGUAACGGCUUACCAAGGCAACGAUGCGUAGCCGACCUGAGAGGGUGAUCGGCCACACUGGAACUGAGACACGGUCCAGACUCCUUCGGGAGGCAGAAGUAGGGAAUCUUCCGCAAUGGGCGAAAGCCUGCAGGAGC